AUUGAACGCUGGCGGCAUGCUUUACACAUGCAAGUCGAACGGUAACAGGCCGCAAGGUGCUGACGAGUGGCGAACGGGUGAGUAAUGCAUCGGAACGUGCCCAGUCGUGGGGGAUAACUACUCGAAAGAGUAGCUAAUACCGCAUACGAUCUAUGGAUGAAAGCGGGGGACCGUAAGGCCUCGCGCGAUUGGAGCGGCCGAUGUCAGAUUAGGUAGUUGGUGGGGUAAAGGCUCACCAAGCCAACGAUCUGUAGCUGGUCUGAGAGGACGACCAGCCACACUGGGACUGAGACACGGCCCAGACUCCUACGGGAGGCAGCAGUGGGGAAUUUUGGACAAUGGGCGCAAGCCUGAUCCAGCAAUGCCGCGUGCAGGAAGAAGGCCUUCGGGUUGUAAACUGCUUUUGUACGGAACGAAACGGCUCUGGUUAAUACCCGGGGCUAAUGACGGUACCGUAAGAAAAAGCACCGGCUAACUACGUG
rnacentral:rRNA from 1 species